AAGAAAAAUGCCUUGAAAUUCAAUUUUAAUUCUUCUAUUUUAAAGUGAAAAGCAAAUUAAUGACUAGUUUGUUUGUUUUUUUCUGUAAAGAAAAUCCAAUUACCAAAAGAUGCACAGACCAGCCUCUUUGGGUUUUUGGCUUUAACUCAUUUUAGCAAUAACAGCCAAGCUCUUUUUAAAAGUAGGUUUCCAGAACAAUUGGCCAGUUUCAGCUCAUCUAGUCACGAAUCUGGAGUCUGAACUGGGUUUUAAAGCAUCACCUGGGUUGGGCCUGGAAUCAGCUUGAUGUACGUCAUAUUUAUUAAGUAAAUGAGUCGAAAUGAACCAGAGACCUGGAAUUGGAAGUAUAUUAAGCUAAAGACUGAGGUUAAAUAAUGUGGCAUGGGGUAAACGUUCCAUUUUCUGAUGUCUCUGAUGAAAACCUGUCACAUUCCUAUCUGCAUGUUUGGAAGCACUUGAAGGGCUUGUUUUUCUGUAUUUCCUCAGUAUAGUUCCUUAAUACCUCUGUAGAUGACCAGUCUCAGCUGUAAGACGGUAGACGGUUACAGUAGAAGACUUGUAACCACCAGGCACACACACAUAUAUAUAUAUAUAUAUAUAUAUAUAUAUAUUUGUCAGGAGUUGAUACAUGGAAGGUUUUGAAAGAUGUCAAUUGUCAUUUUUCCUGUUUUGUCGUUUUGUUUGUUACUGAUGCUGGAGAAAGGGCCCGCUGAUGAGGCUCCAUGAGGUCUGAAUGGAGGCUGAAGAGGGCCCCAGAGAUCCGCAUGAACCCCCUAUCCUCCUUAAACCACAUAUGAAGGAAGACAGACUCUUUAUUUUACACGUUAACCCUCAAAGACCUAGAAAACUGACUGUAGCAUCUGUUUUCUGAACAUAGAGUGGCUGUUAAAAUUGCAAGGACAAGUUAAAGUACAAAGUUUACAUUUGCUUUUGUCUAAAAAUGUAUGAAUUUACCGGGAUUUUUCAUGAAAGCAUAAGAAAUGGCGGACUUUUUACUGUGAACUCUGACACAACCUUGAUGUUUUGUUAUCACUGAAAUUCUCCAAAUGACUUUUUGACACAGACUAAAGCAAACAAAUCAAGGAAAAACCAAAAAUAUGUAAAAGUAAAAAACCAUGAAAACAGGUGUAGCUAAAUGCGAAAUUGGUUAAUAACAUGUUAGCAUGCAAAUUAGCAAAACUUUUAGAACAAUGGAAAAGCUAAAGAUAAUGGGAAGGUGCAAACAGGUGCAGCUACAUCUAGAAACACUCAUUAACAUGUUAUGGGAACAUGUUAGCAUGCUAGUUAGCUACUUAGCUUUUGUGUUUUCCUAAAUGUUUUUUGGUUAAUUCCGUCAGUCUUGUUUGUUUUUGACUUUUAAUAACAGUUAACUACUAGCUUAGUUUGCUAACACUAGCUUCUGUUUCAUAUUACUAUUUUUAAUCUAAAUUCAGUAGCUUUUUUCCAAUAACUUUGAUGUUUGUUUGUUUUUUUGGCUCAGUUUACAGCAAAUUGAGGAAAAACCAAAAAUCUGAAAAUGGAACAAUAGAAAUUAAUUGGCAAGAGGUAAUGAUAGCAUAGUAACGUGUUAUCACAGGUAUAACUAAAUGUGGAAUCAGUCAUUAACAUGCUAUGGAAACAUCUGAGCUUGCAAAUUAGCAACUUAGCUAAAGUUUUCUUUCUUUUUCUUUUUAAUGUUUCUAUUUCUAAAUGGUUUUGGCUAAUUAUGUCAGUCUCUUAAUUUUUUUUUACUAAGUUCAAAUUGACAAUGGUUAACCACUAGCUUAGUUUGCUAACACUAGCCUCUUUUUCAUAUAACUAUUUUUAAUCUAAAUUGAGUAGCUUUUUUCCAAUAACUUUGAUGUUUUGGUUUUUUUUUUGGCCCAGUUUACAGCAGAAAACCCCCCCCAAAACAUCUGAAAAUGGAACAACAGAAAAUAAUUGGCGAAAGGUAAUGAUAGCAUAGUAACGUAAUAUAACAGGUGUAACUAAAUCUGAAAUCCGUCAAUAACGUUAUGGAAACGUCUUAGCAUGCAAAUUAGCAACUUUAAAAACUUUAAGUAUUUUUAUUUCUAAAUGGUUUUGGCUAAUUAUUUCAGUCUCAUUUUUUUUUUUUUUUUUUUUUUACGAAGUUCAAAUUGAUAAUGGUUAACCACUAGCUUAGUUUGCUACCAUUAGCCUCUGUUUGGUAUUACUAUUUCUAUUCAAAAUUUAGCUUUUUUCCAACAGUGUCACUGUCUUCUGGCCUGGUCUACUGCAAACAAACGGCAGAAAAACAAAACGAUCAAAAAAUUAAACAAUAGAAAAUAAUUAGCCAAAGGUAAUGAUUACAUGGUAAUAUAACAGGUCAAACUAAAUCUGGAAUCAGUCAUCAACAUGUUAUUAGAACAUGUUAGCGUGCUAAGUAGCUAGUUAGCUUAAUUUUUUUCCCUAAGUGCUUUUGGCUUAUUCUAUCAGUUUUGUUUGUUUUUCAUAAAGUACAAAUUUUAUAUUACUGUUUUUAAUCAAAAUUGAGUGUUUUUUUCCCCCGUAGCUGCGAUUCGACUAAAACGAGUCAAACUGAAACACUGAGAAUGUCCUCUGUAUUUGACCUUUUAAAGCACAGUGCAGAGGAAUAUUUUGUAGCUACAGGAAGUGUUCAAGGUCUUUGAGGUUUAAAUUCAAAGCUCAGGUUUUAAUUUAAUUUGCAUUGUUCUGAAAAGGAGGCGGAGGUUUCAUUCGGACUCUGAUGUCGAAACAGUGUUGAAAGAACGAUGAAGAACAAAGACUCCUCUUCGCUGACGGUUUCUUCUGUCAGCCUUUGGUAGAUUUUUUUUUUUUUUCUUUUCUGUAUGUUGCACUUGAUAAAUCCUAACUCUUAUACACUGAUAACUAUUAUCACUAUGAUUAACUUGGCUGAAGUAAUUAUUAUGUCCGACAACACUGACGAUCUGUUUAAUGAUGAGUGUGAUGCAGUUAACACUAUAGCCUGAUUUACUGUCAAAUAAAACUGAAUAAACAAAUACUGGCGUCUAAGAGUUAUGAUAUGAAUAAUGCUGC